rnacentral:lncRNA from 1 species
UAUAUUUUUGUGUCUUUUUCCACACAUGGAAUAAUACAUUUAAUAUUGAAACUUGAUUUUUAAAAAUUUCCUGCUAACUUAGCGGAUCAAAACAAAUUUAUUGAUGCAUAAUAAUUAUACAUAUUUAUAGCAUGUGUGUGAUAUUUUUGCAGUGUUUAAAGAUUUGCGGAAAAGAAUAUUGGCAGAACAGAGCUUUGGACUGAAAACACAAGGAUUUAUGUUGACUAUCCAUGAAUACGAAGGUAAAUAAGGGAGAGGCACUCAUGUUUUUGAAUAUAUACAUUUUAUGUGAGAACUUGUGCUAAGUACCAUACAUACAUUAGCUCAUACAUGCAUUAGUCACACCAUAGUCCUAUAAACUUAGUAUUAAGUAAAAUAAUUUUCACAUUAUAGAUGAAGAUAGUGAGAGGUGUCUAGUCCAUCUUAUGCUGGAACAAGAGGUUCCCCCUCCUUUUUUUUUUGAGACUGACUUUCGUCCUUGUGCCCAGGCUGAAUGAAAUGCAAUGGCACGAUCUCUGCUCACUGUAACCUCUGCCUCCCAGGUUCAAGAAAUUCUACUGCCUCAGCCUCCCAAGUAGCUGGGAUUACAGGCGCCCGCCACCUCGCCCGCCACCACGCCAGGCUAAUUUUUUCUAUUUUUUAGUAGAGACGGGGUUUCACCGUGUUAUCCAGGAUGGUCUCCAUCUCCUGACUCUGUGAUUCACAGGCCUCGGUCUCCGAAAGUGCUGGGAUUACAGGCGUGAGCCAUUGCGCCCGGCCUCACUUGGGUAUUUUAAAUAUAUUUAGAAAAGAAGAGCUUAAGAAGCGUGUGAGGCAAUCUUACACGUGUGAGGCAAUCUUACAUCAUCUUACAGAAGAUGAAGUACAUCUUCUGACUAGUUUGUCACGGAACUUUUAGGCUAGCGUGAACCGUCUUCCAACAAGCACUUGAAAACCAAUAGAAACUCAUCAUAGUUAUUCCAGCACAACUCCUGGCACCCAACUGUUAUGGCCGUCAAAAUCUAAGUUGGUCCCCCAAUAAUCCCUACAUACUAGUAAUC